GUGUCAGCCGCCGCGGUAAUACGUAGGUGGCAAGCGUUGUCCGGAUUUAUUGGGCGUAGGGCGAGCGCAGGCGGUUUCUUAAGUCUGAUGUGAAAGCCCCCGGCUCAACCGGGGAGGGUGAUUGGAAACGGGGAGACUUGAGUGCAGAAGAGGAGAGUGGAAUUCCAUGUGUAGCGGUGAAAUGCGUAGAUAUAUGGAGGAAGACCAGUGGCGAAGGCGGCUCUCUGGUCUGUAACUGACGCUGAGGCUCGAAAGCGUGGGGAGCAAACAGGAUUAGAUACCCCCGUAGUCC
rnacentral:rRNA from 1 species